GACGAACGCUGGCGGCGUGCUUAACACAUGCAAGUCGAACGGAAAGGCCCUGCUUUUGUGGGGUGCUCGAGUGGCGAACGGGUGAGUAACACGUGAGUAACCUGCCCUUGACUUUGGGAUAACUUCAGGAAACUGGGGCUAAUACCGGAUAGGAGCUCCUGCUGCAUGGUGGGGGUUGGAAAGUUUCGGCGGUCGGGGCUGGACUCGCGGCUUAUCAGCUUGUUGGUGGGGUAGGGGCUUACCAAGGCUUUGACGGGUAGCCGGCCUGGGAGGGUGACCGGCCACAUUGGGCCUGCGAUACGGCCCAGACUCCUACGGGAGGCAGCAGUGGGGAAUAUUGCACAAUGGGCGGAAGCCUGAUGCAGCAACGCCGCGUGCGGGAUGACGGCCUUCGGGUUGUAAACCGCUUUCGCCUGUGACGAAGCGUGAGUGACGGUAAUGGGUAAAGAAGCACCGGCUAACUACGUG
rnacentral:rRNA from 1 species